rfam:Termitomyces sp. J132 unplaced genomic scaffold C223653, whole genome shotgun sequence.
GGGCAUUUGGUCGAGUCUGGUUUAUGGCGUUCGUCUUGAAAACGAUUACUUUAAAAAAAGUCGUGAGUUCGAAUCUCACAGUGCCCA